ACAACGCGGGACCUGUUACUUUUGUUUUGAGUGGAAAGUGUUACUACUAUAGAGUUACACCCGGCUCAAUUGAUCCCUUUUAUUGUGGAAUUUUAUUUUUUUACAGUCUAUGGAUAAUCCUGAUGUGUUCCCGCUACAAGUUACCCCCCUCCCCUCAUAAUUUACCUAGUUAGCAUGCUUACGUUAGUUUGAAGUUGAGUUAACGGUUUUCUUUGUUUAAAAAAUCACAACGGUUUGAAACGUUAGCCAAACGGAAUUCGUGUGACAUGGAAUUAUUUCAGAAAGUGGAAAAGAUUGGAGAAGGGACGUACGGGGUGGUGUACAAGGCAAAGAACAAAGUCACGGGAGAGACUGUUGCACUCAAGAAAAUCAGACUCGACACGGAAACAGAGGGAGUACCAAGCACUGCCAUCAGAGAGAUAUCGCUCCUCAAAGAGCUCAGCCACCCAAAUAUUGUCAAGCUCUGUGAUGUCAUCCACACAGAGAACAAACUGUACCUGGUUUUUGAGUUCCUUCAUCAGGACCUUAAGAAGUUCAUGGACUCCUCUGUCUCUGGUAUCUCUCUGCCACUUGUCAAGAGUUACCUGUUCCAGCUGCUGCAGGGCCUGGCCUUCUGUCACUCCCACAGGGUUCUCCAUCGGGACCUGAAGCCCCAGAACCUUCUCAUUAACGCCCAGGGGGAGAUCAAGCUGGCUGACUUCGGCCUGGCUAGGGCCUUUGGGGUGCCUGUCCGCACCUACACUCAUGAGGUGGUAACUCUAUGGUACCGAGCUCCAGAAAUUCUUUUGGGCUGCAAAUACUACUCCACAGCGGUUGACAUCUGGAGUUUGGGCUGUAUCUUUGCUGAAAUGAUAACCAGGAGGGCCUUGUUUCCAGGCGACUCAGAGAUCGAUCAGCUGUUCCGGAUCUUCCGUACCCUGGGCACACCGGACGAGGUGGCUUGGCCAGGGGUCACGUCCAUGCCUGACUACAAGCCCUCCUUCCCCAAGUGGGCCCGACAGGAGCUGUCCAAAGUGGUUCCCCCACUGGACGAGGACGGGAGAGAGCUGCUCAAGCGCUGCAACUCCCCAACGGGCUCGGGAGGUGACGGUUGAGUCAUGCAUCCUCCGAAACAUGAACUGCCAGACCGUGCUUCUUAACACCGACCCUCUUAACCCGGAACCCAGCCACACCAAUGUGUUGGAGGAAACACUGUUCAAUUGACGACCGUGGCCAGCCUGCAGCAAAUGCUGAGCUAUGACCCAAACAAGAGGAUAUCUGCCAAAAAUGCCCUCGUCCAUCGUUUUUUCCGUGAUGUCACCAUGCCAAUGCCACACCUACGACUGUGACAUGCAGACUGACAGGAACAAUACAUUGCCCAGGGUCUUUCCAUGAGAGAUCCCUGAGCAGGAGGACUGCCCCAGCUCUUAUCCACACCUGAAUACUACAGUCCAGGAGAUGGGAGAGAUCACAGUGAAAUAUGGAUGCCUUUCCAAAAGUCAUUCUAGCAGCCAAAAACCAGCAUUUGUAUAAAUUGAUGUCCUGUGAGUUUUUUCUCUACAGCUAUGAGUGCCUGUUAUGUCAUAGAGAAUGAACUCUAGAGUUGUUUCAGCAUUUUAUGUGUAUUGAAAGGGUUAACUUGGUUUGUGUACAUUUUAGUCAUUUAGCAGAUGCAAGCUCUUUAUUUGUUCAUUGCAUAAUUUAUGAUAAAAAGUUGAUUAAAUUAGUUUGAGCUUUA